GACGAACGCUGGCGGCGUGCUUAACACAUGCAAGUCGAACGGAAAGGCCCUGCUUUUGUGGGGUGCUCGAGUGGCGAACGGGUGAGUAACACGUGAGUAACCUGCCCUUGACUUUGGGAUAACUUCAGGAAACUGGGGCUAAUACCGGAUAGGAGCUCCUGCUGCAUGGUGGGGGUUGGAAAGUUUCGGCGGUUGGGGAUGGACUCGCGGCUUAUCAGCUUGUUGGUGGGGUAGUGGCUUACCAAGGCUUUGACGGGUAGCCGGCCUGAGAGGGUGACCGGCCCCAUGGGGAAUGAGAGCCGCCCAAGCCUCAUCGGGGAGGAAGGGGGGGGAAAUAUGGAAGAAGGGGGGAAGGCUGUAGGCAGCACCCCCGGGUGGGGGAUGGCGGCCUUGGGUUGUAAACCCGUUUGCGCCGGUGAAGAAGGGGGGGUGAGGGUAAGGGAUAAAGAAGCCCGGGCAAACUACGGC
rnacentral:rRNA from 1 species